rnacentral:lncRNA from 1 species
GCCACAGUCAUCUUUGGGGUAUCUAGUUUAAAAAAUGUGUGGUCCGUGACCCGGCCAACCAACCAAGAUGGCCGCCAUGGCUAAAAAUAGAACAUAGGGGUAAAAUGCAGUUUUUGGCUUAUAACUCAAAAAUCAAAGCAUUUAGAGCAAAUCUGACGGGUUAAAAGUGUUUAUCAGGUCAAGAUCUAUCUGUCCUGAAAUUUUCAGAUGAAUCGGACAACCUGUUGUUGGGUUGCUGCCCCUGAAUUGGUAUUUUUAAGGAAAUUUUGCUGUUUUUGGUUAUUAUGUUGAAUAUUAUUAUAGAUAGAGAUAAACUGUUAACAGCAAUAAUGUUCAGCAAAGUAAGAUUUACAAAUACCUCAAUGCAAAGGAAAUGGUCAGCUGACCUCUUUAGGAGUUAUUGCCCUUUAUAGUCAAAUUUUAACCAUUUUUUCGUAAAUCU